rnacentral:rRNA from 1 species
GACGAACGCUGGCGGCGCGCUUAACACAUGCAAGUCGAGCGAGAACCGGAGCUUCGGCUCCGGGGAAAGCGGCGAACGGGUGAGUAUCACGUGGGCAACCUGCCCUCGGCACCGGGAUAGCCCGGGGAAACCCGGAUUAAUACCGGACAGCCUCCGGAGCCUUCGGGCGCCGGAGAAAAGGUGGCUUCGGCUUCCGGCUGAGGAGGGGCCUGCGGCGGAUUAGCUUGUUGGUGAGGUAACGGCUCACCAAGGCGACGAUCCGUAGCUGGUCUGAGAGGACGAUCAGCCACACUGGGACUGGGACACGGCCCAGACUCCUACGGGAGGCAGCAGUGGGGAAUCUUGCGCAAUGGGCGAAAGCCUGACGCAGCGACGCCGCGUGCGGGAAGAAGGCCUUCGGGUUGUAAACCGCUUUCAGGAGGGACGAAGCCACUCGGGUUAAUAGCCCAGAGGGUGACGGUACCUCCAGAAGAAGCCCCGGCUAACUACGUGCCAGCCGCCGCCGUAACAC